rnacentral:lncRNA from 1 species
CUCUGGAAGCAGCCAGCGCGCGCUAGGGGCCCUGGAUGAGGACCGCGUCUGUGACACACCGCCCACCCCUCAUCCCCGAGGCGGGCACCCGGGAACCUGGGCGGCUCCAUCCUUUCGUCUCGCCCUCCCCGCGCCGUGUACCUAGAAACAACCAGCAGAGGGGAAGAGGAGCCCGCGGGAAGAACCGCAGGCGAGACGGAGAAUGAGGGCCAUUCAGGGUGUGACAGCCGCCUCGGCGAGGCUUAGAGGGACUCACCAGGCAGAUACGCAGGUCAGCUGGUCGAGCAAAAGUAGGCCUGCAAGACGUCGUGAUGUGAUGGCAGGGGACGACACAAUGCCUGCGUGAGGAGAUGCAGUGAGAUCACCCUGAAUUGAAUUCAGAGGACACAUGGAUUGAUGUAAGAGUGAG